AGUAACACGUAGAUGACCUGCCCUAUAGUGGGGAAUAACAGCCUGAAAGGGUUGCUAAUACCGCAUAAGCUCUUACAUGAGGGUGUAAGAGGAAACCUUCGCAAGAGGGGCUAAAGGAGGGGUCUGCGGCGGAUUAGCUAGAUGGUGGGGUAAAGGCCUACCAUGGCGACGAUCCGUAGCUGGUCUGAGAGGACGGCCAGCCACACUGGGACUGAGACACGGCCCAG
rnacentral:rRNA from 1 species